GACAGAGGGUGCAACCGUUGUUCGGAUUUACUGGGCGUAAAGAGCUCGUAGGCGGUCUGUUGCGUCGGCUGUGAAAACCCGGGGCUCAACUCCGGGCCUGCAGCCGAUACGGGCAGACUAGAGUUCGGCAGGGGAGACUGGAAUUCCUGGUGUAGCGGUGAAAUGCGCAGAUAUCAGGAGGAACACCGGUGGCGAAGGCGGGUCUCUGGGCCGAUACUGACGCUGAGGAGCGAAAGCGUGGGGAGCGAACAGG
rnacentral:rRNA from 1 species